UGGCAAAAUGCAAAAGUUCAGGGUCUCU
rnacentral:piRNA from 1 species